rnacentral:rRNA from 1 species
GGCGAACGCUGGCGGCGUGCCUAAUACAUGCAAGUCGAGCGAAGUUUUUCUGGUGCUUGCACUAGAAAAACUUAGCGGCGAACGGGUGAGUAACACGUAAAGAACCUGCCUCAUAGACUGGGACAACUAUUGGAAACGAUAGCUAAUACCGGAUAACAGUAUUUCUCGCAUGAGAGAUAUUUAAAAGUUGGUUAUGCUAACACUAUGAGAUGGCUUUGCGGUGCAUUAGCUAGUUGGUGGGGUAAAGGCCCACCAAGGCGACGAUGCAUAGCCGACCUGAGAGGGUGAUCGGCCACACUGGGACUGAGACACGGCCCAGACUCCUACGGGAGGCAGCAGUAGGGAAUCUUCCGCAAUGGGCGAAAGCCUGACGGAGCAACGCCGCGUGAGUGAAGAAGGAUUUCGGUUCGUAAAGCUCUGUUGUUAGGGAAGAAUGGAUAUGUAGUAACUAUACAUGUAAGAGACGGUACCUAACCAGAAAGCCACGGCUAACUACGUG